rnacentral:rRNA from 1 species
UCAAAUUAUAAGCUUUUACUUAGAUUAGUAAGUGUUAUGUUCAUUAAAAUUAAAUAAAAUGGCGGUAUCUUAUUCUUUUCAGAGGAACCUGUUUUAUAAAUGAUAAUCCACGAUUGAUUCAAUUUUUAUUAAUAGUUUGUAUAUCGUCGUAAAAAGAAAAUUUUUAAAAAUUUUAAAUUUUCUUAAUUUUUAAUUAAAAAUUACUUCAGAUCAAGGUACAGUUUAUAUAAAAAUUUAAAUGGGUUACUAUUAAAAUAUUUAAGGAUUAUUGGUUGAAAAUUAAUAUGAAUAUGGAUUUGAAAGUAAUAAUAAAUACAAAUUUAUUGUGAUUAAGUUCUAAGAUGUGC